UUUAAACCACUGGGAUACAACGACCAAACUAAUACUAUUUACGAACAACUUUACCCGGUUGACUUAAGAAAAAGACGACAUACAGUGGGAAUGCACUACUUUCAAUAUAACAGAUUCCCUGCUGAAUUAACUAACAUCAAGAGAAAUAGGGACUUUCCACGAUACGUUGUUAUGUUUUAACGAAAACAAACGUCCCUAUAUACAGAAAACUAGAAGAACUACCGUAUAUACUCCUGGACGUUAUGACUCGGACCUUCAAUCAGCAACUCCGUGACCAGUACCAUCACUAUAGAUGACGGUCUUGUAUUUGCAAACCGGGAGGAACAACGGUGCUUCCUAAAACUAGAUGACCUAAACGUCUUGGUCAAUUACCGUACUACGACCGACAUCAUUACCUCCCAACACUAAAGACCUACAACACGAUCCUAAUCCUACCUAACCGCAGGAGAAGAGUGCUUUGUGUGACUGUGUUUCAAAGACCAAAGAUUGCAUGUUCCUAAUAAAUGAUACUUGUUUAUAACGUUACAAGUAACCAUCAUGACAAACAACUCCACUACGGAGACGAUGUCCAUACUUUAAUAGCAACCCGGAAGUUGAUAAAAAUAAACUACAUAUACGAAGGUUUGUGAUGAAUAAGGUCAUGACGUAUGACCUGUUUUUGUUAAAGGAAUAUACGAUCUUGUGCCGUACCGAUUAAUCAUUAACGUGAUGUAAGGAUUAUUGAAAAUUUGAAAACCCUCCGUACCGUUACAAGAAGUUGGUACUAAAUCAAGUAUAUAUUAAUCUGUGAAGUUUUUCUUACAGGACACUGUAUUGAGUGGAACCACUGAUACGAUGCUUCACAGGCUUGGACGUAAAAUAUAGUCCUACUAUUUUUAAGUGGUUAUAUAGUAGCAAGUGUGAUUUAAAAAGGCAAACCUACUUUUUGGCGGCAGUGAUUAAAUCGAUUAGCGAGUGGUCAUCCAUUAGAUCCUACGAAACAUAGGGAUCUGGGUGUGGGUGUGUGCUGGCGGUAGAGGGUGAAAGGAGUCAUAGUGCUGGACUACGCUGCAACCGUCGCGUUAGUCAGCCUCCUCCGGUCACGACUGCUACUGCUGAGACGCUACCCCUUUCCAGCGAACAGCAGCGCCGUGGUCGUUAAGGUGCUAGCGUAUUAUGGGCGUACAACUACUGGAGGUCCUGAGAGGCCGGAGGAGGGAGGUCCAUGGAGCGGUUUGGGAUUGGCAGAGUCCAAGUGUCAAAUAAUAAUAUGAUGAUAACAAAUUAAUCUACCAUUGUAUUUUGAACCUCACAAACUAUCCUCAAGAAUAAGUGCCAGACUCUACGACUGACCCAAGAGAGACAGAGAGUGUUCAAACAGGAACACAAUAGAGAAAUAAGUCCCAUGAGGGAGGCAAAGAUUUACAUUCUAGAAAAUCUCUAAAGUGAUAUCUGAUGUAUGCAUUGUUUUCCUCAUUUAGAUGUGAGAUUUCAUACAGAUAUAUGUAGGCAUACAUCAGGUGUCACCUUAGAGAUUUUCCAGAAUAUAAAUCUUUGCCUCCCUCAUUUUUUUACGGAUCUUAUUUCUUUACUACUUAACAUAACAUGUGUAAUAACAUCAAUUUCUAAUACAAAUUUUAGCUAGUGUGAAACCUACGACGGUUGAACGUCCCAGCUACUCUGUAAUUUAACGGUAUAACGAAAAGGGAGAAGAAGUGCACAAUCCUUAUAUAGAAAUUGUUAUCUUAAAUUAUAAACACCAAAGUGUAUUCCUUCUCUGCCAUAAUAUAGUCAGUGCUCACUACCUCAGUACACCAACAACGGCAGCACGAUUUACAACCACGUCACAUUUUAAGGACUCGAUCUGUAAUACCAUGUUAUAAUUAAAAUCCUAACAACGGUUAGUAUGGGCAGACAUCGAUAUAGUAUAACGUUUUAAGGUACUUGUAAACCAGGUGUGAUAAAAAGACAAUAUGACAAGGACGGGUUCCCACCUACUUCCACCUGCACCCGCGGCGCCGACGGUGGUUCCUACAUCCCCAGUGCGAUGUUGGCCACUCCUGUGCCAUCCGUGCGGUUGGCGUGAUAUCGGAAUGUUAAAAAGGAUUAAAGAGAUCCAUACGCUCUAGUUAAAUUAUAAGUGUAUAUACGACUUUAAAACUGAAUCUUUUUGGUCGUGACUUCAAUAUACUUCAAAGAACGCUCUCGAUAUAGUAAGAAAAAUCAUGAUGUUUAAUUAAGGGUACUCAUGGUUACCACUCUAAAACUCCGCAUUUAUGACCUACACUAAGAGUAACGACCGUUAGAAGUACUUGGAUAGUUCCUCUUGUAACGUUAUGAAUAGGCAACGUGUCCGCAAGAGUUGUGACCGAUCGUUGUUCUCUCUUACUAACAUGUUACGAGUGACAACAUUCGAACUAAGUUCUCCUCGAAGAGUUACAACAUGUACAUCCGACACUCAUUGUCUUUAUUAUGGAUAAACAAGUGAGAAAAGGACAUGGAUACUAAGUAGACGGUGAUAAGUCAUCUCAAGUCAAUACACGAAGUUAUAAUCCUUCAGUAGUAGAAGAUUUUGUAUGGCAACGGAUGAGUUGUAUAAAACAAGGAAAAACAAAGGUUGUCUAAUACAUAUUUGUGUACACAUGUUAUCUUCGCCGUCUUGGACGUAACCUGGCAGGAGUAAACGAGACAGGUAAAAAAGGUUUCUUUAUUGUGAAGACGUCAGGAUACGUAAGUCUUUAUGCUAAAUCACACGAUAAUUAGGAGCAUUAGCGUGCGAUAUAAAAGACACCCUUAAAGUAGGUAAGACUAAAACUCCGUUUAUAUAGUCAAUUAAAAAAAUAAGAUCGUUCCAUGGUAUAUGUACAAUACUUUAAGAGGAAACGGAUGGUCCAGUUGGUGAAUCCGUCCUCCCUUAAGUAAAUAGUUAUUUUUAUUUAAACAGACUCCCUUACAAUAGAAUAAAGAGGUCAUAUUGGUUUACUUGUGAUGCUACUUGAAUUGUAGAGAGAUAGUAAUAAAGAGAUUCUACGUUCGCUAUAUAUUUUAAAUUUUUCGGGCACCAUUGCGUGCCCGGCAGAUGAUCAAAGCAAGUCAAGUACUCGUCACCUGUUGGUCGAGUUCUCGUUCCGGAAAAAGUUCCAUGGUUGGUAUUACGGUGUAGAGAAAAAACACGGUGCGUAAGUAGUGAUGUAACAUGUUUAAGGUUCCCUUAUUACGAUUUUAUUGUACAACAACGAUGUAAAAUUACAUUGCCAUAACUACGUCUACUGAACACACGAAUUAAUACUUCAAUUAAUGAGCCGUCGUGUAAAUAAAAGGUUCAGCGGUGUCCCUUAAUAAGAAAACCCUAGUAUAAAUAAGAGACGUUUUCCAUCAGAGUUGAACGAAUUACCGGUGUAAACUGCCAACGAAUUUGGAAGACCUGUUCUGCGUCUGUAUGUUGACACACUGUUGAAUUACGGAAAACCCCUUAAAACUAACGAAAAGGAUUGUUCUUUCGUAUUGUUAUAGACGCUUACAAUUAAUGAAUCAAAUGGUUUCCAUUUACAGACGCUGUACUGUUCAUACACCUAACUAAAAUUCACUUGGCUGAUUGACCUACUAAACCAAGAAACACGAUUCAGAAACUUUUUCUUGCAUGAAUAUACAAGAUGACAUAAUAUAGUAUACCGAUUACGGUAUAAACAAUGUAUGAUCGAUUUCUACUUCUUUAUAAAUGCGUUUCUUGUAAGUAAAAGUGUAACGAACCGUACGCAGAUCCAGUAAGAUAAAUAAUGGUAACGACUUUCGACAUGAAGACGUACGGCUAUCAAAGUAAGCUUAUCGAGAGGAAUCUAAAAAAGUAUCAAGUAAGGAAGGUCAACAAACUAUCGAAACACUAAUAAAGUUCUUUUAACUAGACAGAACGUCUGACUUUCGUUAGAGUAGGUCAUCAAACUAUAAUACCAGUAACGAGGUUUGUUUAACUAGUCACAUCGUUUGGCUUUUGUUAACCUACGACUACGUUAGUACCGGACUCUAAUAAUUGCUCAUUCCUGUACGUAUCUCAACGAAGGAUGACCAUGUAUUGAUAAAAGAAAGAUGUCCAUGAUACAACUUAGAAGUAUCUAGAGUAGAAGUACUCUGAUCGCUUCCCAUAUGCAAUCCUACCUCUCUACUCCACUCAAAGAUUUAAAGUGGCAGGUUAGAUUCGUAGUGUUUUCCACUCGUAAUGAUAAGUUUCCCUACUGAUUAAUUAAUUGGAGAAUUAAAGAAAAAUGUCUUUAAUUGGUCUAUCAUGCACCGACUUAUUAAAACUUGAUCGAUGAUAAAGAUGUACCUCACGGUACAAGUUUAUCUGCUUCACUUCAACAUCACCCAAGACUCGGUAAGAAUAUUUCUAUCCCCACACAUCAUCGAUCGCCUCGAUGCAUCGUUUUCGACCCGCCCGGCCAUACUUCUUUCUGGUGAUAAAAAACAGGAGCACUGAGUUAAAUGAAAUUAGGAUGUGACGUAAACGAGAACUUACCCGCCCGGUACCGGUCGAGGCGGUCACCCCCACACGGUAUAAUAAAAAGAGAGAAACGUUGCGUGAUGAGAAAGUAGCCUACUUUACUCUCACACCUCGACUUUAUCCAGAAAGUAGCCUACUUUACUCUCACACCUCGACUUUAUCCAGUCCUACUUGUAACAAUCCUAUGCAGGUUUAAAGUACCGGUUUUUUCUUUAUAAGCCACAUUGGAAUAAGGACUGAAACGUUUUUUAAUCUAAUUUUUCACAACGUAUUACCGUGCACCUCG
rnacentral:rRNA from 1 species